rnacentral:misc_RNA from 1 species
AAGUCGUAACAAGGUUUCCGUAGGUGAACCUGCGGAAGGAUCAUUAUCGAAUGAAACAUAGAGUUCGGCUGUAGCUGGCCUGCAAAGGCACGUGCACGCCUUUCUCUUUCAUCCACACACCCCUGUGCACCUGUGAGACGGGGGCUUUAGGUUCUCUCUAGCUAGGGAGCUUGGGCCUCCGUCUGCCGUUAUACAAACUCGUCUACUUAAUCUGAAUGUAACCGAUGUCAAAUGCAUCUAUAUACAAAGUUUCAACAACGGAUCUCUUGGCUCUC